rnacentral:rRNA from 1 species
GCAGUCGAGCGGACAGAUGGGAGCUUGCUCCCUGAUGUUAGCGGCGGACGGGUGAGUAACACGUGGGUAACCUGCCUGUAAGACUGGGAUAACUCCGGGAAACCGGGGCUAAUACCGGAUGCUUGUUUGAACCGCAUGGUUCAAACAUAAAAGGUGGCUUCGGCUACCACUUACAGAUGGACCCGCGGCGCAUUAGCUAGUUGGUGAGGUAAUGGCUCACCAAGGCAACGAUGCGUAGCCGACCUGAGAGGGUGAUCGGCCACACUGGGACUGAGACACGGCCCAGACUCCUACGGGAGGCAGCAGUAGGGAAUCUUCCGCAAUGGACGAAAGUCUGACGGAGCAACGCCGCGUGAGUGAUGAAGGUUUUCGGAUCGUAAAGCUCUGUUGUUAGGGAAGAACAAGUACCGUUCGAAUAGGGCGGUACCUUGACGGUACCUAACCAGAAAGCCACGGCUAACUACGUGCCAGCAGCCGCGGUAAUACGUAGGUGGCAAGCGUUGUCCGGAAUUAUUGGGCGUAAAGGGCUCGCAGGCGGUUCCUUAAGUCUGAUGUGAAAGCCCCCGGCUCAACCGGGGAGGGUCAUUGGAAACUGGGGAACUUGAGUGCA